rnacentral:rRNA from 1 species
UACGUAGGGGGCAAGCGUUGUCCGGAAUCAUUGGGCGUAAAGAGCGCGUAGGCGGUCCGGUAAGUCCGCUGUGAAAGUCAAGGGCUCAACCCUUGAAUGCCGGUGGAUACUGUCGGGCUAGAGUCCGGAAGAGGCGAGUGGAAUUCCUGGUGUAGCGGUGAAAUGCGUAGAUAUCUGGAGGAACACCGGUGGCGAAGGCGGCUUCCUGGACCAAUACUGACGAUCAGGUGCGAAAGCGUGGGGAGCAAACAGG